rnacentral:rRNA from 1 species
CUUUUUUUGGGGGGAAGCACCCCCAAUUUUUGGGGGGGAGCCUUUUGUCCGGCUGGGAAACCUCCGUCUUAAUACGGUGGGGGGAUGACGGUACCGGAAGAAUAAGCACCGGCUAACUACGUGCCAGCAGCCGCGGUAAUACGUAGGGUGCAAGCGUUAAUCGGAAUUACUGGGCGUAAAGCGUGCGCAGGCGGUUCGCUAAGACCGAUGUGAAAUCCCCGGGCUUAACCUGGGAACUGCAUUGGUGACUGGCGGGCUAGAGUAUGGCAGAGGGGGGUAGAAUUCCACGUGUAGCAGUGAAAUGCGUAGAGAUGUGGAGGAAUACCGAUGGCGAAGGCAGCCCCCUGGGCCAAUACUGACGCUCAUGCACGAAAGCGUGGGGAGCAAACAGGAUUAGAUACCCUGGUAGUCCACGCCCUAAACGAUGUCAACUAGUUGUCGGGUCUUCAUUGACUUGGUAACGAAGCUAACGCGUGAAGUUGACCGCCUGGGGAGUACGGUCGCAAGAUUAAAACUCAAAGGAAUUGACGGA